rnacentral:tRNA from 1 species
ACCUGGGUGGCUCAAUGGUUGAGCAUCUGCCUUUGGCUCAGGUCAUGAUCCCGGGGUCCUGGGAUCGAGUCCCACCUCAGGCU